AUUGAACGCUGGCGGCAUGCUUUACACAUGCAAGUCGAACGGUAACAGGGUGCUUGCACCGCUGACGAGUGGCGAACGGGUGAGUAAUGCGUCGGAACGUGCCGAGUAGUGGGGGAUAACGCAGCGAAAGUUGUGCUAAUACCGCAUACGUACUGAGGUAGAAAGUGGGGGACCUUCGGGCCUCACGCUAUUCGAGCGGCCGACGUCUGAUUAGCUAGUAGGUGAGGUAAAGGCUCACCUAGGCGACGAUCAGUAGCGGGUCUGAGAGGAUGAUCCGACACACUGGGACUGAGACACGGCCCAGACUCCUACGGGAGGCAGCAGUGGGGAAUAGUGGACAAUGGGCGGAAGCCUGAUCCAGCCAUGCCGCGUGUCUGAAGAAGGCCUUCGGGUUGUAAAGGACUUUUGUCGGGGAGGAAAUCCCCAGCGUUAAUACCGCUGGGGGAUGACAGUACCUGAAGAAUAAGCACCGGCUAACUACGUGCCAGCCGCCGCCGUAA
rnacentral:rRNA from 1 species